CAUGAAGGAAGAUGAGGUACCUA
rnacentral:siRNA from 1 species